GACCAAACCAAAUCUAUCUUACAAUUACUCCCAAAUUCAAGCAACAACUUGACGAAACUGUCUGCUGAGGGUCCUUAUAGCACGUUUCAUUGCACACUGCCAAACCCAGAGAUUCUAGAACAUGAGAAAUUCAAGAAAGAAACCCUCCACCCCAUUUAUCAAGAUUUAAAUAUGUAAAAAUAUGGCCCUCGGUCAUUCUUUAACAGUCGUUAAAUCAGAGAACUAUCACUUCCUUCCCAUUUUCAUUUUCAUUUUCACCUUCUUCUCCCUUUAAACGACUAGAAUCUGUGACAACAAUCUCAAGCCUUACAAUUUUUGACAUAAGCUUUGUGGCAUAGUGGCAAUCUCCACAUAUUCGGAGACUCUUCAUCCCUAUUACUGUACUUCCCUCCACGGUACUAACCAAAGCAAAUCCAAUU
rnacentral:misc_RNA from 1 species